rnacentral:lncRNA from 1 species
AGCAUUCUAAAUAGAUCAGAGAGGUGGGAUGCUGGAGUCAGGACAAGGACUCCAGCGAGGACUAAAGGAGGCACUGGAGGGGGUCCCAGAGGAAAGACAAGGAUUAUAGAAAAUGCCAGAAAAAUGGUGAUCCACUGAGAGAACUGGCAAGGGCCAGAAAGAGAGCCAGCUUUGGAUGGGGAAAGAUGGAGAAGUGGAGAUUUAGGAGUCAUAAAUGCUGAGAUUAUUAGAUCUUUUCCAUCAAAAAGGAAUCAUUUCAAGCCUCACCAUAUGAACGGUUACUGGAUAAUCCAUUGGUUGAAUGCCUUUGGGUGA